UGUUUUAGUGGUUUUUAUUUAAAAGUCCUGAAUCACAUUUACUAGAGUAAAAAGGAAAUCUCUUUUGGAGAGAGUGAUUUGGUAUUUUUCGUUGAUUUUACUUCUGUCCCGUGUGGCUGUAUUUUCACUGCUGUACCAUCUGUCAAUAAACCAACAGCUCCACCAGAGGGGUGAAAACCAGAGAGCUCUGCAUGGCUGCAGGAGCGAGCGUGUGUGUCAAAGGACUCAGGUUUUGGAGAAGGAUAAACCCUAGGUUUUUCUUUUCUUUUUUUUUCCCCCAGGGAUGGAUGGCUUUUAAAAAAUCCACAGGCCCAGAGGCAGGGCCAGAAUUACAAAAUCACCAAAUUUUGACAUCUGCCUCUUCAAUCGGUUCCAGGAAUGAAAUAAGUCCAGAGUGGGUGUUUGGCCAAGCUGGGAACCAGAAAUCACAGGAAUGAAGCUUGGAGAUCAUGACUAGAGAAAUAAUAGAAACCGUGAAGUCUAAUCACCAGUGUGAGGACAAAAAUGGAAGAAGGAGCAGCAAAGUGGAGAAGCUGCAAAAGAUGUAAGUAGAAUCAGGGGCAAGAUGAAGGUCAAGGGGAGUGAUUCAGAACCCAGUCUGUGAACACUGUGUUAGUUCUGAACAAACAAAAACCUAGUGUGUGUCAUUAGCGUCCAUGAGAGCUUCAGUGGGCUCUCCAGGGCUGGACAACUUGUUAACACCAAGUCUAAAGAGGCUGGAGCCAGGCUGGGUGCACGCAACUCAGAAACUGCGGAGAGUGCCUUGAGUUAUGGUCAGUCUUGUUUUCUUUAAUAGACUACAGGUACAUCUGUUUCUUGACUCUGCCUUGGAAUUAUUUGUCAUUCUGAUGAUUCCUUCAUGAAGCAGCUAAAUAAAACUUAGUUCUUAGUGUGAUGGGGCUAUGGA
rnacentral:lncRNA from 1 species